rnacentral:rRNA from 1 species
GAUGAACGCUGGCGGCGUGCCUAACACAUGCAAGUCGAGCGAACAGAUCCGGAUUUUACUCUACUGAAGUUAGCGACGGACGGGUAAGUCACACGUGGUUAACCUUCCUCUACGACUGGGGCCACUUCGGCAAACUGGAGUUAAUACCGGGUAAUAUUUCGAACCGCAUGGUUCGAUAGUGAAAGCUGGUUUUGCUAUCACUUAUAGCUGGACCCGCGCUGUAUUAGUUAGUUGGUACGGUAACGGCUUCCUAUGGCGACGAUAGGUAGCCGAACUGAGAGGGGGAUGGCCCACUCUGGGACUGGACCGCGGUCCAGACUCCUAGAGAAGGCAGCGAUAGGGAAGCGUCGGCGAUGGGCGAAAUCCUGACGGAGCGGCGCCGGGUGAGUGAUGAAGGGCUGCGGGGGGGAUGACGCUGUUAGUGGUGAAGAACACUCUUGCAAGGAACGGAGCACUUCGUGACGGUACCUAGUUAGAAAGCCACGGCUAACUACGUG